rnacentral:rRNA from 1 species
GAUGAACGCUGGCGGCGUGCCUAAUACAUGCAAGUCGAGCGAACAGACGAGGAGCUUGCUCCUCUGACGUUAGCGGCGGACGGGUGAGUAACACGUGGAUAACCUACCUAUAAGACUGGGAUAACUUCGGGAAACCGGAGCUAAUACCGGAUAAUAUAUUGAACCGCAUGGUUCAAUAGUGAAAGACGGUUUUGCUGUCACUUAUAGAUGGAUCCGCGCCGCAUUAGCUAGUUGGUAAGGUAACGGCUUGCCAAGGCAACGAUGCGUAGCCGACCUGAGAGGGUGAUCGGCCACACUGGAACUGAGACACGGUCCAGACUCCUACGGGAGGCAGCAGUAGGGAAUCUUCCGCAAUGGGCGAAAGCCUGACGGAGCAACGCCGCGUGAGAGAUGAAGGUCUUCGGAUCGUAAAACUCUGUUAUUAGGGAAGAACAAAUGUGUAAGUAACUAUGCACGUCUUGACGGUACCUAAUCAGAAAGCCACGGCUAACUACGUG